UAGGGAAUUUUGCGCAAUGGACGAAAGUCUGACGCAGCAACGCCGCGUGCAGGAGGAAGGCCUUCGGGUUGUAAACUGCUUUUAUCUGUGACGAUUUUGACGGUAGCAGAAGAAUAAGGAUCGGCUAACUCCGUGCCAGCAGCCGCGGUCAUACGGAGGAUCCAAGCGUUAUCCGGAAUUACUGGGCGUAAAGAGUUGCGUAGGUGGCAAGGUAAGCAAAUAGUGAAAUGAUGCGGCUCAACCGCAUGUCCAUUAUUUGAACUGCCUAGCUUGAACAUAGGAGAGGUACCUGGAAUUCCCAGUGUAGGAGUGAAAUCCGUAGAUAUUGGGAGGAACACCGAUGGCGUAGGCAGGGUACUGGCCUAUUGUUGACACUAAGGCACGAAAGCGUGGGGAGCGAACGGGAUUAGAUACCCCGGUAGUCC
rnacentral:rRNA from 1 species